GAAUUGCUUGGAACGUAGAUGCUACAUGGAUCAAAGGGGUCCUUUUGAAGUUUCUGCAUGGCAUCUGAGAUGAAAGAGAUUUUGAUUGUGCUGCUGCUUUUUUCUGUCCUCUGUAGAGCUGCUGCAGUUUCCUUUUAGUUUAUGAAAAUGUUAAAUGAUUUGCCGAAGGAUAUUUGUAGUAGCUGUUGGAAAUGGGGCACACAGUUGUAGCUUUCUUUUUUACUUGCGUAAACCAAAAUUGCCAUCUUUGUUCUCAUCAUAAACAUACAGUUAAUGGCUGACAUUUUUUGGCACAUAGCACAAUUAAGACACUGAGACAGAAUUUAGUUUGCCAGUAUGUCACAGCACUGUUAAAAAAACAGUAAUGAAGUUGUGUCAUUCCUGAUAGUAUUUGGAAGCUGCAGAAAGAAGCAUGUUCAGGAUUUGAAAUGGUUAGUAGGUUGAGCAGUUUGUAGGCUGAAAUUUUUAGGUGUAGCAGGGCCAGUCCACUUUUGAGACAAAGCACCUGGCUCCAAAGGUGUUUUCAUUCCUAGCACCUGUUCUUUGGGCUAAGUGAAAUUUUGCAGAGAAGCACUGCUGUAAUUAAUUCAGAAAAGGUGCUGUGGCUCAGCCAGCCUGGAAAUGAUGGUGCCAUUUGUCCUGGUUGUCUUGCUUCUUCAUCCUGUAUUUGUGAGAUCAGGCUGAAACUGCUUUGUGAGUAGGGAAGGCAUUCUGCACAUGCUCAGAGGCACAUAUUCCAGGUCUCAUAUUUUGUGUUUAAAGCUAAUUAUGGUGCCAGGCUCUGGCACAAAUGAAGCCCUGUGAGAUUAAAGCACUGGUGGGAAUGUGAAGAAUGACUUUCCCUUUUGUCAUCCCUGGGGUUAGCAGGAAGAGUUGAAAUAGCAAAAGAAUAGAUUUCUGUGCAUUUUUCUCUGGUAUUUCUCUCUCUCUACAUAUAGAGUGGCUUUCUGUGCCCCAGCGAUCUCCCUCCACAUGGGCUAUUGUCCUGCUUUUGUAAAAAGCUGUUUUUCCAUUCAGAUUUCUUUCCUAGUGACUCCUUUUUAUGUAGGUAAAGCUGGAAGACAUUGACUGGUUAAAAGGUUCAUAGUGAACAACAAUUUGAAUUUAAGUUGUCUUGAUCUGUUCCAAGUACUUUAGCCCAUUGAUGGGAAAAGCUUUUGGGACAACAUGCCAGAAUGCUAUAGUUGGACUGUAGCACAGCUGUGCAGACUUCCCUUCAUUUAUUCAGCCUCUUGUGCCUUGGGGUGGCUUUGCUUCUAUAUUACAGAUUGGUGGUGCUGACAGGUGUAUAGGUUUGAUCCUUUCAUAGCUAGACCCAUAGGGCCUACCUGUUCCUGCCUAAGGUUGACACAAAAUCAAGGUGCCUUGCAGUGCCCUGCAGGCUGACCACCCACGCUUUAGCCUCUGUAGUCCUCUGGGUGCAGGCCUCAUGCUGCCAUCUUUCUCCGCUCCUCGUUCUGUUCCAGGAUCUGAAAAUACAAAUCUGCACAGCCUAAUGGGGAUAAAAUUCAGACAAGUACACUGUCUAGUGUAUUGCUUAAUUUUCUUUUGCUUUGCAAUCUUUGGAACAUUUUGGGUGUCAGAGGUUGUAUGCCUGUGUAAGAAAACAAAUUAAAAAAUAAUUCAGACUGUUUCAACAUACAGGCAACUGGGCUUAAUAUAAACAAAUAAAACACAACCACCGUGUUAAUUUGAACUGUGCCCUAUCAGUUUGGAUAUUCUUUUUUGUGUACUCUUUUAAAAUAACUCCGGAAGCUUUGCUUGCUUGCUGCUGUUUAGCUAGCUAGCUAGUUCACGAGUUGUGGAGAUCUGAACAACUGGAACCUUUUGAAUGGAAGUAUAGCUUACCCCUUUAAUGUUAGUUCUUUGAAGACUGUUGUUGGGCAAAGUGUGGUGGUUAUCUGGCUUGCUAAUGCUGAAAAAGAGCAGCAGCCUGGCAUACGCCCCAAACAUCUGCUGCUUUGCAUCUCACUCAUGUGUGUGUGUGUGUGUAUUGGGCGGUCGCCAUUUUUGGAGGAGACACAAAGCUUGUCUCUGUGUCAGGAAGAUAACUCCAGGGUUGGGUGUUUUAUGAGGAGUGUUUUCUUCUGUUGCUGGAUGCCGCUACCCUGUUUGGAGCUGGUGGUUGUUGCAGGACUGAUAAUGCACACAAGGAGCUCAUUCUUUGGGCAAAAGAUGUCUGCUGCCUGACUAGGCACUGAUGGCUUUGCAAAGAGGGUGUCCUCCCUUUAUCUCUCUUGUCCUUGCAAGCGGUCUUCCAUCGCCAGAUCUGAUGUGGCAUUGCUGGCCUCGAGCACUUUGGGUCCUCCAGAGCAGUUGUUCAAAUCCAAUGCAUGUGAUUUCAGACACUUUUUGUUUUCUUCUUCCUUCAAAUACUUCCCCUUACUCUGAAGGGCCGCAUCCAGCUCCUAAUUUCUUAAAAAGGAGAUGGUGUUAGCAUCUUGUCUGGAGACAUCACCUUCUGAUCUGGAAGUCCCCUUGCCCAAUCCCUGACAUACAAAGUUUCUUUCUGGUAAGGGGAAUCCACUCUGUACCUGCUAAAGUCAGUUUCAUCUGUUCAUUAGUGCAAGGUUUGUUUGUUUGUUUGCUGUACAGUGGUACCUCUAGUUGCGGACACGAUCUGUUCUGGGGUGCUGUUCACACCCUGAAAAGUCCGCAACUAGAGCGGUGCUUCUGCGCAAGCGCGGAGUGCAAUAGAGCACUUCUGCACAUGUGUGAAGCGCGCAGACUGCUUCUGCGCACGCACAUGUGGCGAAACCCGGAAGUAUACACUUCUGGGUUUGCCAUGUUUGCAAGCCGAAAAGACACAACAUGAACCUAACGCAACACGAGGUAUGACUGUAGUCAUAUUCUGCCUUGCCACCAACAGGCUCAAAGUGGCUUAUAAUUUAAAUGCCAUUAAAGUAAAGCAAUGCAAUACU
rnacentral:lncRNA from 1 species